CAGCCGCCGCGGGAAUACGGAGGGGGCAAGCGUUGUCCGGAAUUAUUGGGCGUAAAGCGCGCGCAGGCGGUUUUUUAAGUCUGGUGUCUAAGUGCGGGGCUCAACCCCGUGACGCACUGGAAACUGGGAGACUUGAGUGCAGAAGAGGAGAGCGGAAUUCCACGUGUAGCGGUGAAAUGCGUAGAGAUGUGGAGGAACACCAGUGGCGAAGGCGGCUCUCUGGACUGUAACUGACGCUGAGGCGCGAAAGCGUGGGGAGCAAACAGGAUUAGAUACCCGCGUAGUCCCUGUCUCUUAUACA
rnacentral:rRNA from 1 species